UACGAAGGGAGCUAGCGUUGUUCGGAAUUACUGGGCGUAAAGCGCACGUAGGCGGGCAACUAAGUCAGGGGUGAAAUCCUGAGGCUCAACCUCAGAAUUGCCUUUGAUACUGGUUGUCUUGAGGUCGGGAGAGGUUGGUGGAAUUCCUAGUGUAGAGGUGAAAUUCGUAGAUAUUAGGAAGAACACCAGUGGCGAAGGCGGCCAACUGGCCCGAAUCUGGCGCUGAGGUGCGAAAGCGUGGGGAGCAAACAGG
rnacentral:rRNA from 1 species